UAGGAAUUCUUAGGUCAGAAGUUCAGUCUGCGGCGACCUGUCCCUAUCUACUAUCUAGCGAAACCACAGUCAAGGGAACGGGCUUGGCAGAAUCAGCGGUGAAAGAAGACCCUGUUAAGCUUGACUCUAGUCUGACUCUGUGAAGAGACAUGAGAGGUGUAGUAUAAGUGGGAGAUCGCUCUGCGGUCGUCAGUGAAAUACCACUACUUUCAUCGUGUCUUUACUGACUCAGUGAAGCGGAGAGCGGUCCGAAGGGACCACGUUUCUAGCACUAAGUGUGGGGACUCUGAGGACC
rnacentral:ncRNA from 1 species